rnacentral:miRNA from 1 species
ACUGGGAAGAGGAGCUGAGGUGC